AUGUUUUUUGAUGUGCAUACAAUUUAUCAGUUACAAGGGCCUGAUUUGUUUCUUCUCGAACCGAUGCUAGCCCAUGGUUAUGUACCAGCUUUUGUUAUUUAUUUAUUUUUUGGACUGGUUUUGAAACAAUGCAGGGUUUAUUUUGAGAAGAUAUUUUGGACAAGAUUAUAA